UUCCGGUUGAUCCUGCCAGAGGUCACUGCUAUCGGGGUUCGAUUAAGCCAUGCGAGUCGAGAGGGUUCGGCCCUCGGCGUACUGCUCAGUAACACGUGGAUAACCUGCCCUAGGGAAGGGGAUAACCCCGGGAAACUGGGGAUAAUACCCUAUAGGUUACAGAUGCUGGAAUGCCCUGUAACCCAAAGUUCCGACGCCCUAGGAUGGAUCUGCGGCCGAUUAGGUUGUUGUUGGGGUAAUGGCCCAACAAGCCCGUAAUCGGUACGGGUUGUGGGAGCAAGAGCCCGGAGUUGGAUUCUGAGACACGAAUCCAGGCCCUACAGGGCGCAGCAGGCGCGAAAACUUUACAAUGCGGGCAACCGUGAUAAGGGAACCUCGAGUGCCUGUAAAUGCAGGCUGUUCAGGUGCCUAAAACACACCUGAAGAAAGGGCCGGGCAAGACCGGUGCCAGCCGCCGCGGUAAUACCGGCGGCUCGAGUGGUGGCCGCUUUUAUUGGGCUUAAAGCGUUCGUAGCUGGGUUGUUAAGUCUCUUGGGAAAUCUGGCGGCUUAACCGUCAGGCGUCUAAGGGAUACUGGCAAUCUUGGAACCGGGAGAGGUGAGGGGUACUUCGGGGGUAGGAGUGAAAUCCUGUAAUCCUCGAGGGGCCACCUGUGGCGAAGGCGCCUCACCAGAACGGCUUCGACAGUGAGGGACGAAAGCUGGGGGAGCAAACCGGAUUAGAUACCCGGGUAGUCCCAGCCGUAAACUAUGCGCGUUAGGUGUAUCGGUGACCACGAGUUACCGAGGUGCCGAAGGGAAACCGUGAAACGUGCCGCCUGGGAAGUACGGUCGCAAGGCUGAAACUUAAAGGAAUUGGCGGGGGAGCACCACAACAGGUGGAGCCUGCGGUUUAAUUGGACUCAACGCCGGGAAGCUCACCGGAUAAGACAGCAGAAUGAUUGCCCGGGCUGAAGACUCUGCAUGAC
rnacentral:rRNA from 1 species